rnacentral:rRNA from 1 species
UACGUAGGGUGCGAGCGUUGUCCGGAAUUAUUGGGCGUAAAGGGCUCGUAGGCGGUCCGUCACGUCGGGAGUGAAAACUUGGGGCUUAACCCCAAGCCUGCUUCCGAUACGGGCGGACUAGAGGUAGGCAGGGGAGAAUGGAAUUCCUGGUGUAGCGGUGAAAUGCGCAGAUAUCAGGAAGAACACCCGUGGCGAAGGCGGUUCUCUGGGACGGUACUGACGCUGAGACGCGAAAGCGUGGGGAGCGAACAGG